rnacentral:rRNA from 1 species
AUUGAACGCUGGCGGCAUGCCUUACACAUGCAAGUCGAACGGUAACAGGUCUUCGGAUGCUGACGAGUGGCGAACGGGUGAGUAAUACAUCGGAACGUGCCUAGUAGUGGGGGAUAACUACUCGAAAGAGUGGCUAAUACCGCAUGAGAUCUACGGAUGAAAGCAGGGGAUCGCAAGACCUUGUGCUACUAGAGCGGCCGAUGGCAGAUUAGGUAGUUGGUGGGAUAAAAGCUUACCAAGCCGACGAUCUGUAGCUGGUCUGAGAGGACGAUCAGCCACACGGGGACUAGGACACGGCCCAGACUCCUACGGGAGGCAGCAGUGGGGAAUUUUGGACAAUGGGCGAAAGCCUGAUCCAGCAAUGCCGCGUGCAGGAUGAAGGCCUUCGGGUUGUAAACUGCUUUUGUACGGAACGAAAAGCCCUGGGUUAAUACCCUGGGGUCAUGACGGUACCGUAAGAAUAAGCACCGGCUAACUACGUGUCAGCAGCAGCCGUAA